GCCUUAGAUGCUUUAUAAAAAAAAACUUAAGUGAUUCAUAAUCAUUUGCCGUGUAUAGAUUUAUUUUGUAGAAAAUAAGCAGUAUGUGUUUUAGCGCUUAGAGUUGAUGUAAAACCAUGUAUUAAAUUUGAAAGUAUUUUGUACUUUUCAUACUUAAAAUUAUCAUACAAUGUUCAAAUAUUUUUCGAUAUAAGUAAGGACACCUGUAUUUUCGAAUACAUCUCGUGUCAGGCUAUUUCACACAUAACUGUAGCUUUUUUCUUAGAGGUUUGGCGAAUUGCGGGCGUGCGUCAGUACGGUAACUACGUCCUCAUUGGCCCCGUCAAGUGCGGGAAAACAGCCUUCACCGACCACAGCCAAUAAUUACAACAAAAAUCUCCAGUGUUUUGUAAAAUACCUUGACACAAAAUGUAUUCGCGAAAUGCAGGUGUCCCUAGAUAUAAGACGUAAUUGCUCUCGGACGAUAAUUUUCUUUACUGGUAUUAUCACCUUUCUUAUGCAGGAGAAUAGUUUUAGUAGUCUUGUGAUACCCAUUCUGAAAGAAUUCCAAUAAUGGAAUAUGUGUUUAUUAUAAUAAAUGGGGAAGUUUAUAUACUAUUAGCAAAUGGAUCAUUAAAAAUAUGAAAAGAAAUUAUAAAAAAUUACAAAUUACUCUACUGCACAUAAAUCACAGAUUUUAAAAAGCCAAAAUUACUAUAACAUUCAAAAUAUUACAGAGAGUGCAAUGUAGAAAACACGGAUGCAUGUUGUUGUCUAAAUGAAAUAAAUAAAAUACAAGUCUGCGGCUUUAAAAACCAAAGAAAUAAAAUGUUUAAUAAAUAUUCAACGCUUGUAAGGGUACAACGAUUCAUUACACUGAUAGGACAUACAGACUUGCCAACUUGUACGAUUUUCCCGUACAAUGUACGGAAAACGACUUACUUGUACGGUUUACGGGGACGUAUGGAAAUCUUCCGGAUUUUUUGCAUUUUGUAGUGUAUGUUGGUGAAAAGUGAAACGUUAGUUGCUCGCGCUCAUGUGUCAUGUUUAGGCUUACUAGAGGUGGGUCGAAAAGUAUCAACCUGAUACUUUAGCACUGAUACGUGCCUGUAUCAGGAACGGCAAACGAGUACACUUGAAAAGUAUCAGAGACUUUAGUAUCAGUUCAGAAUUCAGCUGGAACAACACCACGGCCAAUGAAUACAGUACCCGAUCGCAGAUGACGGUCACUUGGGCGGAGCUUGUGAAAGGGGAGGGAGCAGGAACGACGAAUAAGGGAUAAAGAAGGGAAAGAAUGUAGGGGAGGAAGCGCAGGGGAAGGCGUUGAAGCCUUGAAGGAGAGGCGCAAAGCGAUAUUGUUACAAGCAGGGCUGCCACUCAUGGGUUUUUCCACCCAGAUUGGGUUUUUCCAAUGGUGUUUGGGUUUCUGGGUUUUUAAAUAAUGAAUUCCAACAAUUCUAGGUUUUUUAUAAUUUUAAUUAUUUUUAUACCUAAAACAAUAAUAAAGGUAGUAGUAGCUACUGUAUCUGUUGCAAUAUCUGUUUGAUAAAUGCAAACAAGUCUAUGUGUUUCACACACAAAAAUACAUAUAAACACAAAACUAGUUUUCAAGAAGCUAAGUCGAAUAUUAAAUUAGACACAUUCUUCAAAGAGGCUUGCAGAACAAAACCAAUGCAACAAUUAACCUUCAAACCAAUCUUGUAGAAUCAGACUCUGAAUGAUGCAGUUUUAUAAAAACAAUUACCGGUUUAAAGGAUGCAGUGAUGGUGUUUGUUUUGUCAUGUAUAUAUUUGUAGGUUUUUUUAUGAUAUGUACUGGUCCAAGAAUUACUUAUACAGCCAUUUUGCUGCAGUGUAAUUUUCUUGUAUUGGUUGUAUUUAACCGUUUUCAGUCUUGUAAGGUAAUUAAUUGUUUUAUAUUAAAACCAGUUAUGUUUAUAUUUUUGAAUUAGUACGCAAACAUUUUCAACGAUAGCAUUUUAGACGCAUCUGGGUUUUUUACCCAUGUGUCUGGGUUUUUUUGUAGGUUAUCUAGGUUUUUCAUGAAUAUCAGAGUGGCAGCCCUGGUUACAAGUCGUUUUGUUUAUUCUCCUACUUCAAAGUACGCUCAGUGCGCAGUGCGUGCACCGUCUCGUUCAAUAAUAAAACUAAUGAAAAUUUAAUAUUAAAAAGUACAUUAAUACAAGAUAUAAUAUUUAUAUUUGUGCACCUAACAGCUAUGAAAAUGCAAAUAAAUUCUCAGUUGACACUAAUAACAGAUGUAAUCAACAUAUGGACUUUCUUUUUUCGAAAACAAUUAGUAACUAGUGUUUUUAUACAUUAAAAAUGCACGAUUUUAUCAAAAAUAAAAAAUAAAAAACAGAUAGGUACAUUAGUGAGCAUACUAUAUCAAUGUUUACGUUUCAAAUGUUUCUUCAGAUUAGUCGAUGAUUUAUAACUCAGUUUUUGUUUACACAAAUUACAAUUAGCAAACUCAUUAUUUUCCGUGAAAAAAUUCCACACAAAUGAAGUCUUUUUCGUGCACUUAUCCAUUCCUUAUUUCACUAUAAAGAUACUAACUACAAAACAUGACAGCCCGCAACAAUGUACAUGGUGAUACACGGCCAGGACGAACUGCAGUGAAUGUUGAACUGAUUGAUACUGGCUGUAUCAGGCGGGCAUGAGAGUGAAGAGGUAGAGAAUUACCGGGCGUGAUAAAUAAUGUAUCAGAUUCUCCUUCCGGUCGCACGGUCUGCGUACGCGGAGCUUUGUUGCCUCCUGGGACCGUCUGAUACAGAAGUAUCAGAGACUUGUACCUAGGUACAUUACUGUAUCAGUAUCAGGUUGGGACUGAUACCGAAAAUUGCUGUCCCAACCCACCUCUAAGGCUUACUGGCAAUUUUUUUUUUUUUUUGUGAUUUACUGUUAGUCACGCCAUACCCUUUUCGCCGCCAACCAAUACAAAUAUUUUCACAAAUAGAAAAUAUACUGGUAAGUUUUGGAUAAUUAACAUACUACGAAUAAGUUUGUGUGGCCGGCCGUCUUUUGUUUAGAUAGCUGUAUUCAGCGACAGUUGCGCGCGCACAGGUCAGUGUAAACAACAUGGCGUCUCGCAGUGCGUGCCUUUGUUGAUCGUUAAGGUUUUAUAUGCAUAUAUUCUUUGCCAACUCAUGUAGAAAGUUCUUUUGUGCAGUGUAUCUAAAUCUGGUUUACAUUUUUGUGCUCACACUUUCGCUCUCCGCCCGCGAAGAUUUAAUUUCCUUCAUGUAAUAAUAUUGUUGAUAGUUGACGACGCUUCAGGUGGGAAAUGCCUCCAAAGUUGAAAAAACAGUAUAUGCAAGUUUUCCUUGACGUUUACGCGAAAGAUUUUCCGUGUAUGAUUAAAUCUGGAAAAGGAAUAAACUUCGCGUUUUGUUCGAUUUGUAGGUGUGACAUAAAUAUCGGACAUGGUGGCAGAAGUGAUAUAAAUGCUCACUUAAAAUGUGCAAAACAUGUUUCGAAUAUUAUGAGUAAGGAGACGAGUUCAAAAUUUCUUGACUACUUUGCUAGGAAUGAAAAAUCUGACAGUGCUGUGAUAAAUGCUGAAUGUCUUUUCACAAGUUUUCUUGUGGAACAUAACAUUCCGUUAAGUGUUUCUGACCAUGCCGGCCCACUCUUUAGGAAAAUGUUCCCAAAUUCUGAGACCGCCAAGAGAUACGGUUGUGGUAGAACUAAGUCGACAGCUAUUAUGCAAGAAAUGGCUGCAUCUGCCACCGAGGAUAUUAUUUCUUUGUUGCAGUCUGUACCAUUUUCGAUAGCAACAGACGGCAGUAAUGAUUCAAAUUCUAAAUUAUAUCCUUUGGUAAUUACAUUUUACGAUGAACAUUUGAAGUCUGUAGUGUCCAAAUUGCUUUCGUUGCCAGUUUUAAAGGGGGAUGCCACUGGCCGAAAUAUUGGCAACCUAGUAAUUUCAGAAUUGGAACAUUUGAAUGUCCCUUUAACACACUUACUUGCAUUUUCUGCAGAUAAUGCUUCAGUUAUGCUGGGAAGCAAAAAUGGUGCAGCUUCUGUGUUAAGGGAAAAACAAGAAGCGCUUAUUGUAGUUGGGUGUCCCUGUCAUCUGAUUAAUUUGGCAGCGGAGAAGGCAGCUGCUGGUCUCCCUUGUAAUGUCCAUGACAUUUUGAUAGAUGUCUACUACUAUCUUGAAAAAAGUUCAAAAAGAAAAGAAAAACUGCAGAAAUUUCAGAUGUUGCAUAACAAAGAAGCACGAAAGAUUCUUAAACACGUGUGCACUAGGUGGUUGUCUCUUGGAAAAGGUCUUCUUCGUUUUGUGGAUCAGUGGGAUCCUUUAUUAAGUGUUUUUAAAGAUGAGGUUACUGUUCAGAAGAGUGAUUCAUCUCUUCAAACAUAUAAAAUUCCUAAACAAAGUACUAGUGCUGCACCCAAAAUCCCCACGUCUUCAACACAAGUUUCGCCAUUUCUAGUUGCCACUUCCAGUAAAACAGUAGGUCUAUGCAGUUCUGAUGUAAGGAAGUCUGAUAAUGAGAAGGAAAUUAAGUCCAAAUCAACUGAAGCUUCAAGAUCAAAAUCUGGCCUGUGUGCAAAAAAACGUGAAACACAAGACAUUUCGACUUCAUUUGGAAAGAAAAGAAAGUUGGAUUCAGACAAGGAAAGUUUGACUCAUUCUUCACCAGGUAAUGCUAAGCAGAGCUUAAAAAACAUAAAUUCAAAUAUCACAAGGGAAGAAAAAAUAUUUAUGUUUUUAUCCUCACCAUUGAACAAAGCCAUAUGUUAUUUUUUGCUUCAUGUGACACCUUCUUUUGAUAAAGUAAAUGUCAUUUUGCAGUCAGCGACUCCUCAAAUACAUGUUGUCAGGAAAUUACUUUGUGGACUUCUUCAGGAACUCUUAUCCAAAUUUGUCAAACCAGUAGCAAUCAAGAACAAACAAUUUCAUGAAGUGAAGUAUCACUUGCCUGGAAACCAGCUAGAAAAUUCAGAAAUAGUAGUUGGUUGUCAAACUUCAAGGGUUGUUGACAUGUUGAGUGAAGCUGACAAAAUUAUUUUUUUCACUUCAGUUAAAAAGUAUUUGAUAAUUGCCUGUGACUAUAUGUUACAUAAGUUUCCUCUAAACGAAGAAGUGUUGCAAAAAGCAGAAGUUGUAGAUGUUGACAGGAUUGAAAGGGCUUCAUUUUCUGACAUAAAAUUUUUCCUGGAAAAAUUUUCCUUUAUAUUGCCUGUAAAAGAAAAUGAGAGUAAUGACUGUGCAAUUGACGAGCUACAAAAACAAUUUAUUUCACUUCAGCUAGAAGAUGUAUCUUCCAUCAUAAAUAAGGAAGACAGAAUUGAUGCAAAGUGGGUUAAAUUAAGUUCUGUUGUGGGUGCUGAUGGACUGCCAAAAUAUGACAGAUUAGCAAAAGUAAUGCUCUCAGUGUUGAGUGUUCCUCAUAGCAAUGCUGAGUGUGAGCGGGUAUUCAGUCUCGUGACCAAGAACAGAACUAAGUUCAGACCUCAGCUUUCAGACAAAUCUCUAGAAAGUUUGCUGGUUAUGAAAUGCAACAAAUCAGGUGUUUGUUAUGAACAGAAAUUUUCUGAUGACUUUUUACAGAAAGCGAAGAAAGCUACUGCAGCUUCUCUGAAGAAGCAGUGAUUUUAUCCAGUUUUUUAAAGUGGUAUUGUGAGUGUGUGCUACUUUUAUGGACUGUUAGGAAAUUUAAAACUCUAAAUAUGUGUUUAAAAUUGUUUGACUUUAACUAAGAAUCCACUUAAUAUUCAACCAAACACCAUUAUAAGUUUUAACACUUCUGGGAAAUUAAGGUUAUCUCGUGCCAAGUACGAGAAAUAGACAGCUUCAGCUGUGCAGUUGGCCUGCCGCGACCUCCAGCACAUCCGAUGUGGCGUCUUGUCAAGU